GGAGCAGUUUCCAUUGAUUGGUUCUCAUUGCAAAGUAAGGUAUGAAAGCCCCUGUUAAACUCUUGGUGCUCAGGCUUUGUGCAUUAACAAUUCCUUGGGGAACUUUAGCUUUCUAGCUCAUCUUCUCUAUUUGUUAGAUUCAUGAAAUACAAACAGGUUAAACAACUUGAAAGGAGAUGGAUAUUCUGUUUUACUCUUCUCAAAUUAUUACACUCCUGACAAUAAUUUUAACAUUUGCCUUGUGUGCACUUUUGUUUAUCAUAAUUAUAAGCUUGAUUAAUUGAGAAGUAUACCACUGUAAGUAGACUGCUUUGAAAUAUCUGUUUAGGAGUGCAGGUAUAAACUUUCAUAUCACUGUCGAGCCUCUGAAGUGUAUAGGGGUUGAAGUUAUAACUAUGGUGUCUUUGGGUAAAUUGACAGGUUUUUUAGGGGGGUGGGGUACUGGCGAUUGAACCCAGGGGCACUUGAUCACUGAGCCACAUCCCCAGGUCUAUUUUGUAUUUUAUUUAGAGGCAGGGUCUCACUGAGUUGCUUAGUGCCUUGCUGUUGCUGAGAUUGGCUUUGAACCCACAAACCUCCUGUCUCAGCCUCCAGAGCCAUUGGGAUUACAGGCAUGUGCCACCACGCCUGACCAAAUUGUGAGUUUUGAUCUCACAAAUGGCCAGCCAGUUAUUCUAACAGCAUGCCAUGUUGGAUAGUUACAGGUCCCAGACUCAGCCCUACUUUUCUACUCUGGGUAAUUCUCCUUGCUUUCUUGAGUGGUAUAAGACAUUAUUGAAAGAAACUGCUACUGGUGUGAAAUGUACUAAUUGUAAUUAGAAAUUGUUAAUGGGGGGAAUUUUCUAUUUCUAUGAAAGUUUUACCAACCUUAGCACUCUCAAGAGACCAGAUCUUUCUUUUUUGUGGGUUCUGUCCUGUGCAUUAUAGGAUGUUUAGCAGCACUCCUAGUCUCUUCUCACUGGAUAAAGGUGGCACUUUACGAAAAUUAUGAAAGCCCAAAAUAGUAUCAGACAAUGCCAAGUGACUCCUUGGGGGCAAAAUCAUCCUCCAUCAAGAAGCUUUUAGCCUAGUUCCUGAAACAGGCAAAGUUCUCCAUCCUGAAUGGCCUUGAUAGGAAAUUCCUUGAUCCUUGGUCAGCUUCCUUGGGAUGCUCCUGUUUCUGGAGAUCCAAUUUAUAUUCAGGAGAAAUGCUCUGGACUUUGGACCCCCAAGCUUCAGUGAGGGCUCCUUCUUCCUGAGUGCUUUCUGAAACUUGUGUGUAGUUGCUCCUUGUUAUGGUUUGGAUUUGAGGUGUCCUUCAGAAGCUCACAUAUGAGACAGUGCAAGAAGGUUCAGAGGAGAAGUGAUUGGGUUGUAAGAGUCUUAACCCAAUCGGGGAUUUAAUCCCCUGAUAGAGAUUAGCUGAGUGGUAAGUGGAGGCAGGUAGGGUGUGGCUAAAGGAGAUGGGAGUUGGGGUGUGACUUUGGUUAUAUAUUUGUACCUGGUGAUGUUACCGCUGUUGACUGGUGAUGAGUCCUUGCUUCCCCAAUGUUGAAGAAUAACACCAAAGAAGCACGCCGAGGCAAGGUCAGAGUAGAAAUUAGAAGU
rnacentral:lncRNA from 1 species